AGAGUUUGAUCCUGGCUCAGGAUGAACGCUGGCGGCGUGCCUAAUACAUGCAAGUCGAGCGAACGGACGAGAAGCUUGCUUCUCUGAUGUUAGCGGCGGACGGGUGAGUAACACGUGGAUAACCUACCUAUAAGACUGGGAUAACUUCGGGAAACCGGAGCUAAUACCGGAUAAUAUUUUGAACCGCAUGGUUCAAAAGUGAAAGACGGUCUUGCUGUCACUUAUAGAUGGAUCCGCGCUGCAUUAGCUAGUUGGUAAGGUAACGGCUUACCAAGGCAACGAUGCAUAGCCGACCUGAGAGGGUGAUCGGCCACACUGGAACUGAGACACGGUCCAGACUCCUACGGGAGGCAGCAGUAGGGAAUCUUCCGCAAUGGGCGAAAGCCUGACGGAGCAACGCCGCGUGAGUGAUGAAGGUCUUCGGAUCGUAAAACUCUGUUAUUAGGGAAGAACAUAUGUGUAAGUAACUGUGCACAUCUUGACGGUACCUAAUCAGAAAGCCACGGCUAACUACGUGCCAGCAGCCGCGGUAAUACGUAGGUGGCAAGCGUUAUCCGGAAUUAUUGGGCGUAAAGCGCGCGUAGGCGGUUUUUUAAGUCUGAUGUGAAAGCCCACGGCUCAACCGUGGAGGGUCAUUGGAAACUGGAAAACUUGAGUGCAGAAGAGGAAAGUGGAAUUCCAUGUGUAGCGGUGAAAUGCGCAGAGAUAUGGAGGAACACCAGUGGCGAAGGCGACUUUCUGGUCUGUAACUGACGCUGAUGUGCGAAAGCGUGGGGAUCAAACAGGAUUAGAUACCCUGGUAGUCCACGCCGUAAACGAUGAGUGCUAAGUGUUAGGGGGUUUCCGCCCCUUAGUGCUGCAGCUAACGCAUUAAGCACUCCGCCUGGGGAGUACGACCGCAAGGUUGAAACUCAAAGGAAUUGACGGGGACCCGCACAAGCGGUGGAGCAUGUGGUUUAAUUCGAAGCAACGCGAAGAACCUUACCAAAUCUUGACAUCCUUUGACAACUCUAGAGAUAGAGCCUUCCCCUUCGGGGGACAAAGUGACAGGUGGUGCAUGGUUGUCGUCAGCUCGUGUCGUGAGAUGUUGGGUUAAGUCCCGCAACGAGCGCAACCCUUAAGCUUAGUUGCCAUCAUUAAGUUGGGCACUCUAAGUUGACUGCCGGUGACAAACCGGAGGAAGGUGGGGAUGACGUCAAAUCAUCAUGCCCCUUAUGAUUUGGGCUACACACGUGCUACAAUGGACAAUACAAAGGGCAGCGAAACCGCGAGGUCAAGCAAAUCCCAUAAAGUUGUUCUCAGUUCGGAUUGUAGUCUGCAACUCGACUACAUGAAGCUGGAAUCGCUAGUAAUCGUAGAUCAGCAUGCUACGGUGAAUACGUUCCCGGGUCUUGUACACACCGCCCGUCACACCACGAGAGUUUGUAACACCCGAAGCCGGUGGAGUAACCUUUUAGGAGCUAGCCGUCGAAGGUGGGACAAAUGAUUGGGGUGAAGUCGUAACAAGGUAGCCGUAUCGGAAGGUGCGGCUGG
rnacentral:rRNA from 2 species